GGUCUCUCCUCUUACCGUCUCACUCCUGUCCUAUCUACCCUCUCCUAGUCCCGGACUGGGAGUGGGUCUUAUAAGUCGGGACAGAACAGACCCCGCUUUUGCUGGGGCAACGGAGCUGGUGCCCUCACUGUCUAUGCUCAGGAGGACGGCGCUGGGCGACCCACAGAGCCCGCGUGGGGUAUUGCGGGGGGAUGCAGGUUGGACCUCGCUCUACGCCAGGAGGCCGCGCCUGGUCACCUGCCGGACCGAUCCGGAGACGGUUUUAUCAGGCGGGCUCCUGGUAAAAACACUUGCGGAGUCUGCCCUCUCCGACGUAGGGGCACUAGUGGGAGGAAGCCCCGGGGGAGACAGGGUCUCUCUUGGACCCACCUGGUCGUGGAGCGGUUUCCGCGUUAAGAGCCCAACAGGUGCCGAAGGUGGAGUCGGACCAGCGGCCCUUUUACUCUUCCAGGAAGGAAGGGAUCCUUGCCUGCCCGCCCCCGUCACUCCCACCCUUGCUUUUGGAGAGCAGGUUUGACACUCCCCUCCUCCCCAGCGACCCCGUAGAGAGAGAGAGGGAGCUAGGAGGAAGGACGACUCUUCUUUCUUCCACCUGGCGGGUGUGUGGGGCUAUAAGGCUGUGGUGGUCAGGAAGGAGGAAAGAGGGACCCAAGAGUCCUGUCUUGGGGUGGAAGUGGAGGGGGGAGAUAAAAAUCUAAUGGUUUGUUGGCCCAGGUCUCUUCAAAUCCUCAAGAUGUCUUUGGCCCUUGAGUGACUCUCCUCAAGUUACCAGAGCCUUGCUGACAAUAGAUAACUGCUGUCCUGUAUGACCCACAAGACAUUGAAUGAGAGGGAUACCUUGAAGACAAAUAGAUGAAGAUUAGAGACGGGACCAGUAUGUGUACCCAACUUCACAGAUCUUCAGAGAUCUACCAGAAGCCCCAGUGCCUGUUGUCCUUGGCAGUGUCCACAGACCUAGAACUAGGAGGCCCAGGCUGCCCUCUACUGGUGGUUCCUGACAAUGACC